rnacentral:rRNA from 1 species
AUCGAACGCUGGCGGCAGGCUUAACACAUGCAAGUCGAGCGGAGAAGAGGUGCUCGCACCUUAUCCUAGCGGCGGACGGGUGAGUAAUGCUUAGAAAAAUGCCUAUUAGUGGGGCAUCACAUUACGAAAGGAAUGCUAAUACCGCAUAAGCCCCACGGGGGAAAGCAGGGGAACUUCGGUCCCUGCGCUAAUAGAUGAGCCUAAGUCGGAUUAGCUAGUUGGUGGGGUAAAGGCCUACCAAGGCGACGAUCUGUAGCGGGUCUGAGAGGAUGGACCGCCACACUGGGACUGAGACACGGCCCAGGCUCCUACGGGAGGCAGCAGUGGGGAAUAUUGGACAAUGGGCGGAAGCCUGAUCCAGCCAUGCCGCGUGUGUGAAGAAGGCCUUUUGGUUGUAAAGCACUUUAAGCGAGGAGGAAGCUACCUGGAUUAAUACUCUAGGUUAGUGGACGUUACUCUCAGAAUAAGCACCGGCUAACUCUGUGCCAGCAGCCGCAGUAAUAC